UAGAGUCUUAAACAACUCCCAAACCCAUGUGAACUUAUCAUACCGUUGCCUCGGCGAGGCGGAGGAGGCCCCGGCCCCCCGAGCCCGCCGGCGGACAAACCAAACUCUGUUUCUACUGAAUCUCUGAGUGAUUAUUAAAUAAAUCAAAACUUUCAACAACGGAUCUCUUGGUUCUGGCAUCGAUGAAGAACGCAGCGAAAUGCGAUAAGUAAUGUGAAUUGCAGAAUUCAGUGAAUCAUCGAAUCUUUGAACGCACAUUGCGCCCAUUAGUAUUCUAGUGGGCAUGCCUGUUCGAGCGUCAUUUCAACCCCUAAGCCUAGCUUAUUGUUGGGAGACCGCGGUCAAUCGCGGCUCCUCAAAGUCAGUGGCGGAGAGACGGUGUCCUCUGAGCGUAGUAAAUAACUUUCUCGCUUCUGUCAGGCGCCGGCCCCCUUGCCAUUAAACACCCAAUUUUCUAAUG
rnacentral:rRNA from 1 species